GAAAGUGAUAUCCCCUCACAUCCAUUCGGUGAACCAAACGGGGAUAGUUUUGUUGAUGUUUAACUCUCUUUGACUCUCUUGUAGUCUAUGGCAUAUGUGAUACUUUUUCCUUCUUUAGGAUUUUGUCCCUCUGAAUUUUCAUCAAAGAGAUUUUAAUGAGGCCACUUGCAACAUAUUAUUGCAUCUUGUAACGAUUUGAUUAUCUAAUGAAGUCUCCUCUUCUGAAAAAAAAAUUACCCUCAUACUCACAUCAAAACUUUGACUCUCUCUAUUUCAUCAUAAACAAAAAAGAAAAAGAAAAAAAGAAAAAAAGAAAACUAAAUCUUUAGUAACAAAAUAAUAAAUUAAAUUGUUACAUUCCAUAAACCCAUCACUAAUCAUUGUACGGAAGUAUGAAUAACUCUUAUAGAAAAUAAA
rnacentral:lncRNA from 1 species